rnacentral:lncRNA from 1 species
AUGUGGUAACUAUAAUAUUUGAUGGACGAAAUACAAACCUUCAAAGCUGGUUCUCUCACGAAAAGUUGAAAAAUUCACCGUGGAACGACCUAGCUUCAGCCACUGGAGUUCAAUUCUCAAUUGAGGGAUUUAGACAUGUACGUCGCUUCUAUAUAACAUUACAUGGUUUUUGUGAAGGGGACAGAGGCUGGUUGACCAUCAAUGAGGGACCACUUCACUGUCAGUUCGAAGAGUCAGAUCACUACCCUUCAAUUCGUUAUUCUGAUACAAAAUCGAAAGUCAUAUGGAACAACGGUUAUGCAUUAGCAGACUCCAUGGCCAUAUUCAUCCGCCUGAGGCAGCAGAACUAACCCAGCACUUGAUAUCCAUUGAUACUAUUGAUGUUGUUAACGUCCAUCCAAUCCAGUUGACCACCACUGGUGAUCCACAUAAGUCACGUUUUACCUUUUAAUAAAGAAUCCAUACAAAUAUUCUAUCCAACAUCGGUCUUUGAAGUUGUGAUUCUCUUUCUCUCAU